AUAGCCCCUCCUAUUAUUUCGGAUACCAACUGGGUGUUGUGCAAGUAUGAUCCUCUAAAACUGAAAAGCUUCAGGAUAGUGAGAGAGGAUUUCCUAUGCAAGAAAGGAGAGUUGAUAGCAAAGUAGAAAAGACAUCCACCUCAGGCUCAGAGGAGGUUUGACUCUCAUCUGUGGCCAAAAGGACAUUCAGGUUAGUAUAACGACGAUAGCCAGACCACCGCACCCCAUAGCUGGACCAGAUAGGUUCCGAUCAGGUAUGUUAACAAAACAGCAAAUAAGUGCCUAUUUUCGUAUGACGGGAAAUUUGGUUAGCGUUUUAAUUUGACGAUUUGGCUAAUUUUACCGAAUUCACCAAUAAUUAUAUUAAAACUAAGUAGCAGACGCAUGCAUGUCAUUGACAUAGAAGCCACGCAUGAGAGGCAAAAAUUGUCAAUUUGGUUCAAAUGGCUUAUCGUAUAGUGGGAUAAUUUCGGAAAUUUCGAAAUUGAAAGCUACGAAAUUAUUCUACCGCAAUAGGUUCAACGUCCCUAUCUUACGGUGGCCCUGAGUGCUACACAUAGUUGACAGUUUAUACUUGAUAGUUUAAACAUAUAGUUGGCACUUUGCAGUUGCUACUUGAUAGCUCAAACGCCUAGUUGCUAGUUGCUAGUUGCUAGUUGGCAGUUGGUAGAUAGUUGGCAGUUGACAGUUGGUAGUUCGUGACCUUUAAACUUUGCAACGACUAAUGCGCCCACUUCAUAAAUUAUUCUAGAUUUGUUUCUCUAAGCCUUCAUUGAUAGGGGAAACCCUACUUAAUGUAUAGCGGACACACGUUAGUGCCGUCUGAUGCCAGCAAAGACUAUAUAUGUUCGACGCCAGUUAGCAAAUGUUGUAUGUAGAUCUUUGCACUGCCUCUAAUCUUUCAGCCAUAAAAUUAACCAAAAUUUGAGUAGAAUCCAAGAUAUUAAAAUUAUGAUACUGACACCGGCUGGCCCAUAAUAAUUGUGCUAAGAUAUCUAUAGCUGGCGUAAGGCGACAAUAAUGUGUGUUUUAAUAAUUAUGUCUACACAUCUAGGUAGGGAGGCAAUUUCAAGUCUAAUCCCCAUGCACCUAUAUUCCCGGCAGGGGGGGGGAAUUAUAGAAACAAGUUUUGUAUGGCAUCUAGAUAAUUCAGAUUAAUUAAUAAAGUUUAAAGGUCACGAAUAUUACCAUCUGCCAACUACGCGUUUGAACUAUCAAGUAGCAACUGUGAACUAGCAACUACGCAUUUGAACUAUCAAGUACGAACUAUCAACUAUGAGUAGCACUCGAGGCCACCGUACACAUUGAGCUGUAUGAAUAUUUAAAAUACGAAAUAUUUAAUUAGGCAGCUUAUACGAAAAUGUGCACCAACGAAAAUAUACUCGCUAUACAGUAUUUGCCAAAUAUUAAUACUCUCCGUUAUACGGUACAUACAGACAUAAUUAUUUGUGUGUGGGCGCGUGCAUUCCUUCUUAGCAUGGAGGUAAACUAUGUCUAGACAGGUAGCUCCCAUGUUGAAAUACAAUAUGUACAUGGGGUGGAUGAAGCUCAAAAAUGAGCCAAUUAAUAGCAUCAGAGACACAUUGUGUUAGUCCAAAUUCGAAGUACAUGCAGGUAUAAUUAAUUAUUUUUUAUCAGUUAGCUAGUACAGUAGAACCUCGAUUAUCCGGCCCUCCAUUAUCCGGAACCUCGAUUAUCCGGCUUGGCAGUUUUCAGAUUAAAUAAUUCAGAAAAUGGGCGUGUCCCUAAAAUGCGCAUGCGCGUUGCAGCUGUUACCAUGGAGACAUGCCUGCUUAUCUUCUGCGCAUGCGCAGACAACCAUGCGGCACUGCUGUUUAUCAAUAAAGUGGGUGGAUCAAGGCGUGGUUUAUCUAUUCGAUUAUCCGGCAUAUUCACUUAUCCGGCCUGCUUCUGGGACCAAGGUGUCCGGAUAAUCGAGGUUCUACUGUAUGUGCUUCUGUUUUGUAUCAAUUACUUUAUUAUGAAAAUAACUAUAUAUAUGUACAUGAACACCAAUAGCUGUUGGAGCAUUCUACCAGGUUUGGUUUUCGUCAGCAAGAUCACAAUAAGAUGACUUUUGUCUAGUUUCAAUAUUGAUAUAAUUAUAUAUAUGUACAUGAACACCAAUAGCUGUUGGAGCAUUCUACCAGGUUUGGUUUUCGUCAGCAAGAUCACAAUAAGAUGACUUUUGUCUAGUUUCAAUAUUGAUAUAAUUAUAUAUAUGUACAUGAACACCAAUAGCUGUUGGAGCAUUCUACCAGGUUUGGUUUUCGUCAGCAAGAUCACAAUAAGAUGACUUUUAUCUAGUUUCAAUAUUGAUAUUUGCGAUCAUCGAAUUCAUUAAACUCGCAAAGUAUACGCAUAAUUAUGUUUGAUGACUGCAAAACAUAGUAGCAUGGGAGUGUUACAUAACUAGCAGGUCAUCUAUCACGGGAAAUGCAGGGCUAAUGAUAGUCAGGCACAGGUGCUGAUUCUGUGAGAUGACCCUGAGUGGGUGGAUGACAACCAGUACAUAUAUAAUAAUGUAGCUUGCAUUAUGGGAAAUUAAAGCAAUACUUUUAAUGGGCAAGCAUGGGAGUGUUUACAUAACUAGCAGGUCAUCUAUCACGGGGAAUCCAGGGCUAAUGAUAGUCAGGCGCACAGGUGCUGAUUCUGUGAGAUGACCCUGAGUGGGUGGAUGACAACCAGUACAUAAUCAUUUAUGUAUGUAAUUGACUAGAUGUGCGUACUAGUGGAAGGGGUUAUAGUCUCUGUCAGUGUGUUUGUUGGUUUUCUGUAAUACAGCCUCAAUAUUGUGGUAGAUCGCAAUCAACAUAUACCUCUUCACCUCUUCUAAUAGUUUUGAGCGAAAGUAAAACAACAGCGAGAGGCGCUAGCACAGCGCAGCUUGCACCACUUGUUAUGUCAUUGUUUAUUGACUCUUCUGUGAUCAUACGUACAUGUAGGUAUAGACCUAGCCAUGGCGCAUGGGUAAGGUUCAAAUAUAUAUAAGGAAACAAUACUUGUACAGUGAUGUACAACACUAAUCUCAGAACUGCACCUCAGGCCAAGCUUGAUGUAUCCGGAGAGAGACAGAGUAUGUAACUGCCUUGGGUCUUAACCCUCGAGUUAAUAAACAAGGCACUUAUACAUGACUGUGCGGCACAACACUGAUAGUCUCCAUAUCACAGAUCUUGCUGGUCCUGUCCUCUGAGGGAGUGAGCACUUGCUUUGCUGUCAGGGCUCCACGCAGCUCAGCUGCAAAGAGAAAAACUGACAUGUAUAUAUACCUGUGUUGUUUUAACUUGUGCUUCAAUUGUCCUACCAAUCCAUGUACAGUGUGUAAAACUAUUCCAAUUCCACCAAACAACUACAUGUGUACAGUGCAUUAUUGUAGUGUUCGUAAACCGGGUUAAAUGCGACGCUCUUUCAAAUUACGAGUUUUCACGCAAAUCACAAAUAAAAAACAUAAAGGUAAUUGUUAGAAAUGCAAUAGGGCUUGGGUAUACAGUGUCAUUGGCAAAGAUACGCAUUCAAAACCAGGUACAAGGCAAGAGGCCUUCUGCAUACCCCAGAUUGAGCUUUCUAAGAGCUACGAAAUAACUCUUACUGUACUAGAUUUUCGAGGUUUUUGAGGAUUAACCUCGAACCUUGAAUUUUAGUGCCUCGAAAAUUGGUUUACUUUCGGUUAGAAGACUGUAGGGGUGUGGUCAUUCGAACCUCUAUCUUCGAAAAUAAAAUGUGCAAAAUGUUUAGUUUGAGCAAUUUGUGCCUACUAUAUAUUUCAUUAGCUACACUGUAUUAGUUCUGUGCAACUAGACAUAACUUUGGGAAUUUGAGACCAAGUGAAAUUGAUCAACCCAUAUAUAGUUAUAAGAUUCCUACGAGUAGGGGAGUGAGAGUGAAGAGUGAGAGUGAAGUAAUGCAAAUUACAGUUUGCAUUUUUCACUCAUAGAUAUUAGCCUCGAGACCAGGCCGUUCGUUGUCUGAAAGAACCCCUGGUCAAGUUCCAAUGUAGAACUCGUCUAGCUAAGUCAGCGAGUGGUUAGGCUCGAGUAGUUGUGAGCAUAAUUGCAGUAACCGCAAACACAACAAUACUAUAGCCAGCUGAACGUUACUGUAAGCAUCAUAAUGAUAUUCACGGGUAAGUAUGGUUGUUGUGGGCAAUUAUGGUCCAAGAAAUUCCUGGACCAACAACUUCUACAUUGGAACUUGACCAGGCGUUCUUUCAAACAACGAAUGGCCUGCAUGGUCUCGAGGCUACAUAGAUAUAAUUAUAUGCAUGGGGUUCCUAUGAGGGGGUGGGGGUGAACCAGUACGUAUAGGUAUAGUCCUAACAUCUAGAACCCUCCUGAUCAUGAGCCAUAAUUUAUAUGACUACAAGCACACAUACGUACGUACUAUACACACGUACACACAACUGGCACACAGAUAUACACACACAAAGUACAGUUGCAUGCAUAAUUAUGGGACCCAUGCUUCCAUGCAUGCAGUGAGCCUAUAUAUAUAUAUAUAUAGGCUGCAUGUCUCCAUGCAGACUUAUAAUUAUAGUAACCUUCUGUAGGUCUUGCUCUCUCAAACUUUGAUUUUAAUUUUCCCAAUUUAAUGACGUAGUCUACAUGCUAUAAAGACACACCCAUCAUGAUUGUUGUAACUUCUGACUCUAGCUUCCAGGGUGGUUUUCCUCUUCAGCUGCAGCCUCCUAUUAUGAAAAAUCAGGCAGGGCUUCAUUUUAGCAUGCAUAGACUCACAUCACUAGGUAUUCACUCCAAUGUACAGUAGACACACACUAACUAUACUGUUCACAAUAUUAAACGAAUGUAAUUUACUAGACUAUAAAAGCUGGAUAAUCUACAAUGAAUUUAGAAGCGUCACAAAGCUAAAACAGUUAAAAUAAACAUGAGUUUCAACGUCCUAUGCUUGUUCCCAGAUCCUGAUGCAACAGUCAUGGCCACAGCUUGCAAACUGCUUGUCGUUAAUCCAACAAACUCCGGACACGAUAGAAAGAGGAUGGGCACCUAGAAAGAAUAUACAGCAAUGAACACUAGCGAUAUAAGCCAAUUUUGAUUGUAGAAAUACUCAGGGCUUCGAAAAAGUAUUACCUGAGAAUUUAGAAAAGACAGCUAGAACUUCAAAUGGAAAUAGCUACAAGUAUUGUUCAUACAUACAACAUUUUAUUCCAGGAAGCUUACCUUUGAUCAUCUCAAUUCUUUCACCCUUGACUGGGUCCCAGACAAUGAUGCUGGUAUCAAUUGACCCGGAUACAAUCUGGGAGGAGUCUUGCGACCAGUCUAGAGACAUGACUCGUGCGGAGUGAAAGACGAGUCUCUUCUUCUCCUGCAACAUGGUGAAACGUGAUUAGCUCGUACAUUCAUAAAUGGGCAGUACGAUAGUGAAAUACGAUCAACAAUUAAGAGUACUAACUGUAUAACGGUGUACCUGAUAGUUGGCAGCAUCGAACACAACAAUGCUUUUGCCAGAAGUUAUGGCAACCGAUUUUCCAUCGGGGGAAUAUGCAAUAACUGUGAUCUGUUCCCCAACACUGAGUGUUGUCUUUGCAGAAAGGGUGUCACCGUUUACAGU